rnacentral:rRNA from 1 species
UGGGGAAUAUUGGACAAUGGGCGAAAGCCUGAUCCAGCAAUGCCGCGUGUGUGAAGAAGGUCUUCGGAUUGUAAAGCACUUUCGACGGGGACGAUAAUGACGGUACCCGUAGAAGAAGCCCCGGCUAACUUCGUGCCAGCAGCCGCGGUAAUACGAAGGGGGCUAGCGUUGCUCGGAUUGACUGGGCGUAAAGGGCGCGUAGGCGGUUUGUACAGUCAGACGUGAAAUUCCUGGGCUCAACCUGGGGGCUGCGUUUGAUACGUGCAGACUUGAGUUCGGAAGAGGGUCGUGGAAUUCCCAGUGUAGAGGUGAAAUUCGUAGAUAUUGGGAAGAACACCGGUGGCGAAGGCGGCGACCUGGUCCGAUACUGACGCUGAGGCGCGAAAGCGUGGGGAGCAAACAGGAUUAGAUACCCUGGUAGUCCACGCUGUAAACGAUGUGUGCUGGAUGUUGGGUGACCUAGUCACUCAGUGUCGUAGCUAACGCGAUAAG